rnacentral:rRNA from 1 species
CUACAGGCUUAACACAUGCAAGUCGAGGGGCAGCAUGGUCUUAGCUUGCUAAGGCCGAUGGCGACCGGCGCACGGGUGAGUAACACGUAUCCAACCUGCCGUCUACUCUUGGACAGCCUUCUGAAAGGAAGAUUAAUACAAGAUGGCAUCAUGAGUCCGCAUGUUCACAUGAUUAAAGGUAUUCCGGUAGACGAUGGGGAUGCGUUCCAUUAGAUAGUAGGCGGGGUAACGGCCCACCUAGUCUUCGAUGGAUAGGGGUUCUGAGAGGAAGGUCCCCCACAUUGGAACUGAGACACGGUCCAAACUCCUACGGGAGGCAGCAGUGAGGAAUAUUGGUCAAUGGGCGAGAGCCUGAACCAGCCAAGUAGCGUGAAGGAUGACUGCCCUAUGGGUUGUAAACUUCUUUUAUAAAGGAAUAAAGUCGGGUAUGGAUACCCGUUUGCAUGUACUUUAUGAAUAAGGAUCGGCUAACUCCGUGCCAGCAGCCGCGGUAGUACGGAGGAUCCGAGCGUUAUCCGGAUUUAUUGGGUUUAAAGGGAGCGUAGAUGGAUGUUUAAGUCAGUUGUGAAAGUUUGCGGCUCAACCGUAAAAUUGCAGUUGAUACUGGAUAUCUUGAGUGCAGUUGAGGCAGGCGGAAUUCGUGGUGUAGCGGUGAAAUGCUUAGAUAUCACGAAGAACUCCGAUUGCGAAGGCAGCCUGCUAAGCUGCAACUGACAUUGAGGCUCGAAAGUGUGGGUAUCAAACAGGAUUAGAUACCCUGGUAGUCCACACGGUAAACGAUGAAUACUCGCUGUUUGCGAUAUACUGCAAGCGGCCAAGCGAAAGUGUUAAGUAUUCCACCUGGGGAGUACGCCGGCAACGGUGAAACUCAAAGGAAUUGACGGGGGCCCGCACAAGCGGAGGAACAUGUGGUUUAAUUCGAUGAUACGCGAGGAACCUUACCCGGGCUUAAAUUGCAGAUGAAUUACGGUGAAAGCCGUAAGCCGCAAGGCAUCUGUGAAGGUGCUGCAUGGUUGUCGUCAGCUCGUGCCGUGAGGUGUCGGCUUAAGUGCCAUAACGAGCGCAACCCUUGUUGUCAGUUACUAACAGGUUCCGCUGAGGACUCUGACAAGACUGCCAUCGUAAGAUGUGAGGAAGGUGGGGAUGACGUCAAAUCAGCACGGCCCUUACGUCCGGGGCUACACACGUGUUACAAUGGGGGGUACAGAGGGCCGCUACCACGCGAGUGGAUGCCAAUCCCCAAAACCUCUCUCAGUUCGGACUGGAGUCUGCAACCCGACUCCACGAAGCUGGAUUCGCUAGUAAUCGCGCAUCAGCCACGGCGCGGUGAAUACGUUCCCGGGCCUUGUACACACCGCCCGUCAAGCCAUGGGAGCCGGGGGUACCUGAAGUGCGUAACCGCGAGGAGCGCCCUAGGGUAAAACUGGUGACUGGGGCU